rnacentral:rRNA from 1 species
GAUGAACGCUGGCGGCGUGCCUAAUACAUGCAAGUCGAGCGAACAGAUAAGGAGCUUGCUCCUUUGACGUUAGCGGCGGACGGGUGAGUAACACGUGGGUAACCUACCUAUAAGACUGGGAUAACUUCGGGAAACCGGAGCUAAUACCGGAUAACAUUUGGAACCGCAUGGUUCUAAAGUGAAAGAUGGUUUUGCUAUCACUUAUAGAUGGACCCGCGCCGUAUUAGCUAGUUGGUAAGGUAACGGCUUACCAAGGCAACGAUACGUAGCCGACCUGAGAGGGUGAUCGGCCACACUGGAACUGAGACACGGUCCAGACUCCUACGGGAGGCAGCAGUAGGGAAUCUUCCGCAAUGGGCGAAAGCCUGACGGAGCAACGCCGCGUGAGUGAUGAAGGGUUUCGGCUCGUAAAACUCUGUUAUUAGGGAAGAACAAACGUGUAAGUAACUGUGCACGUCUGGACGGUACCUAAUCAGAAAGCCACGGCGAACUACGU